CGGUUCUGCAAAUACCCUGUGAAAUCGUCUCGCUUAACGGGACGGCGUGCAGGGUAGACUACAAGACUAGGGACCAGGUGAGGUGAACGGUAUUCCGUGGGGAGCGGUAAAAUGUGAUAAUCCUCGGAGGACCACCAAUGGCGAAGGCAGUUCACCAAAAUGGAUCCGACGGUGAGGGAUGAAAGCCAGGGGAGCGAUCCGGAUUAGAUACCCGAGUAGUCCUGGCUGUAAACUCUGCGUGCCAGAUGUUGCACAAUCUCCGAGAUUGUGCAGUGUCGAAACGAAGGUGUUAAGCACGCCACCUGGGAA
rnacentral:rRNA from 1 species